rnacentral:rRNA from 1 species
UACAGAGGUCCCAAGCGUUGUUCGGAUUCACUGGGCGUAAAGGGUGCGUAGGUGGUUGGGUAAGUUUGAUGUGAAAUCUCCGGGCUUAACCCGGAAAUGGCAUUGAAUACUAUUCGACUGGAGGGUUGGAGGGGGGACUGGAAUUCUCGGUGUAGCAGUGAAAUGCGUAGAUAUCGAGAGGAACACCAGUGGCGAAGGCGAGUCCCUGGACAACUCCUGACACUGAGGCACGAAAGCUAGGGGAGCAAACAGG